AAUAGAUACCCUGGUAGUCCAUGCCGUAAACGUUGGGCACUAGGUGUGGGGCUCAUUCCACGGAGUUCCGUGCCGCAGCAAACGCAUUAAGUGCCCCGCCUGGGGAGUACGGCCGCAAGGCUAAAACUCAAAGGAAUUGACGGGGGGCCCGCACAAGCGGCGGAGCAUGCGGAUUAAUUCGAUGCAACGCGAAGAGCCUUACCAAGGCUUGACAUGCACGGGAAGCCACCAGAGAUGGUGGUCUCUUUGGACACUCGUGCACAGGUGGUGCAUGGUUGUCGUCAGCUCGUGUCGUGAGAUGUUGGGUUAAGUCCCGCAACGAGCGCAACCCUCGUCCCAUGUUGCCAGCGGGUUAUGCCGGGGACUCAUGGGAGACUGCCGGGGUCAACUCGGAGGAAGGUGGGGAUGACGUCAAAUCAUCAUGCCCCUUAUGUCUUGGGCUUCACGCAUGCUACAAUGGCCGGUACAAAGGGCUGCGAUACCGUAAGGUGGAGCGAAUCCCAAAAAGCCGGUCUCAGUUCGGAUUGGGGU
rnacentral:rRNA from 1 species